rnacentral:lncRNA from 1 species
UUUAAAUCAAGGCAGGACUGCAUUAAUCAUACUGAAGAUACGAUUAAAGGUAGUUGUAUGGUUUCAUUAACUAGCAGCCGUAUUACUUGUUUUUUUUUUCGCUCUUUUGUGAUUCUCAAAGUUUAGUUACUAAAAUUUUUCCUCUCUGAUGAUUUUGAGUUAUAAGUUUUCUUGGCUGUGCACCGGUAGUUUCAUGAACUUCACUUGAGCAGAUAUAAGAAUGGCAUGCUCAAACUGUGUUAAAAUGCUGCAAAACAUCUCAGAUCUGUUCUAACUCAAUAGCUUAAGUGAAAAGGAGAAUCUAAUUGGUUAGCUAUCAUAAUUUCUCAAUGAAAGAUGGGCACCUAAAUUCAUAUUUAGGUCAUCCCACUUUGAAAGGCGUUCUCAAUAUAUUUUCAUGGCUGUCAUAACUCAUUAUAUAGGCUGUAGCUUGAUUGUUUCAUAACUUUGCUUAGCUUUUCCAUACUUUAGGGGCAGGGAAUUGAGUGAACCACCCAUAAUGGAACAACUUUUACGUAGAUGGAAGUUUUUUUUGGUAAUUACUACAUAAGAGUUUUGGGUUCUAAUGAUCAUUAUUCUUCCAAAUAAUGUACUUUUCCCUAUGAGGUGAUCUAUCAUGCCCUUAAAGAUUGGAAUUACUUACUCGCUCUUUCUCAUUUCUAGGGCCAUUUGGCUUUUGGACCAAACUAGUUGAUGAUGGCUUGUGUGGUAUGUAGAUCUUCUAUUGUAGUUAUAACCUAGGAUUUGAUUAUGUUUAUUGCAAGCUACUCAUGAUAUUUUAGAGCGGUGCAUGUCACCUAUGAGGUGAUUUAUCAUAUCCCGGGAAAACAGUUUAGAGGUUGUAUACACCAUCCUGGAGUCAGGAUCUUUCAUAUCCCUCACCAGCCAUUUACUACUAGUCCAUUUUCUCUGAGAAAGAAACAAAAAGAACUAGUUCCUCAAGUAACCAAAACAGAUGCUGAACAAAGGUGAGGUUUGAUUUAGAGAUUUUAGAACCUUGUUAUUUUCAGAUGGUAAUUUUAGAGUAAAUAUAUGGAUGUGAUCUACCGGGUCUAAACAUUCAGAUCUAAACAUCUUAUGCAAAAGAAAUUUUAGGACUCAGAGACUUGUGCUCUAUGCAUUAAAGAACCAGAUUACUUUAAUUGAAUUUUAUAUAAUGAUCAAUAUUUUUUAUUGAUUUGAUACCUACCCUAUCAACUAAGAUCUUAGCAUAAUACAAGCCACUGAUUUUGGGUCUACUCAUUGCACUUGAAGUAGGACCUCAAACAUAUUAUUUGUAGUAAGCAUUUGAUUCCGUGUAGAUCAUAUAGAGUUGCAAAAAUGUUAAAUUUGAAACACCCUAAAUAUUAAUGUAAAAUCAGUGUAACACCUAACAGUUCUUUGAAUCAUCAUAUGCGAAAUACGAAUAUGCCAAAUAUAAACACCUCCAAACUGUCAUUUAAUAUUUUUAAUAAGGCUGUUUUUUCAACUGCAUCUACAACUAGGGAUAGAAACAUAUGAAUUUUCAUUUUUAACUUUAUAGUACUUCCAUUUAGUAAUCAAAGUAAAAUUUGUAGAUUUUGCUUUCGAGUAUCUACCCUUGAACUAAAUAGUGAGUCCAUCUUCCCUAAAAUCACAUUUUUGAACACUGAAUAAGUAAAACUCUAAGAUCACCCUCAGACAGCUGUUGUUUGGUUUACACUUCUAUAGGAAUCUGUGGGAGAGUCAUUGUGUGUAAGAUAGUUUUUUUUUUGUGCGUGUGUGUUUGUUUUGGUUUGUGGCUCCGAAGCCUUGUUGCUUCAUCAUGUAGCUUAAUUCACUCUUCAAUUGAAUGAAGAGAUAGCAUGCUACCUUUCUCAAAAAAAAGAAACAAGUAAAACUCUCUGUCAAUGUUUUCGGAUGCGCACACUACACACACAUUUAAGCGAGUAUUGUAUAUGCUAUGGUCGACUAAUUCACCUCUAAAAAGAGAUAUGCGAGUGGUAUUGCUUGUCCAUGCCUAGGACCAAAUUCUUUACAGCUUUCCAACAUCUAAUAUUUUUGAAGUCCUCUUUUAGGCUGUUGAUGUUACGAAGCUCUCAUAUCUUAACCAAUCAAUGGAUAUGCUCAUACAGCUAGUACAACUCCUUUUACUGGGUUAUUGAUGCAGACUUCAGUGGCAAUUCAGAUAUUAUAUUUCUUUCUGCAAUAUUUUUAUCUUAUUGGUAAUAGAAGAAUUUACUUGGUACAAAUAAACAAAGAACAUGUAAUAAAAUUUAACCCAUCAAGUUGUCAAGAUACGAUCCCGUAGGUAGUAUGAUUUGGGGUCUUUUCCUCACGCACCCAAUUCCAAUUUUAUUGCUUACAACCCCAAUUUUAUUGCUUACAACCAUGUAUAAAUGUAAGUGGGUCUUCCUUUAAUUUUCUUUCUGCUUUCUUUCUUCUUAUUGCUGCAUGUUCUUUCGAUUGUACCCAAUUUCCUUUUUUAGCUCCACCAACCCACCUGCUACAAUAACUUAUUGAUAAAUGUAACGGAUCUCUUCUUGCUUUUUCUUCAAAUUUACCUUGCUCUACGUCUUCAUUGAAUUUACAGACCUCAGAAAGAGUUUUUAGCUUUUUUUAUAUAUAGGUUGGUUAGUUGCUUAUGGUGAGGCCUCUUCUGUCAUUUAUGUCUAUUAAGUUCUGUACAGCUUUACAACCAUAAGGUUUUGUGUCCAAUAGGUUAUUGCAUCAUUAGGGGGAAUGGCAAUAGUAGUAACCAUGCAUUCAACAAAAUGCUAAUUUGAGAUUUUCAGAAACAGUAUAUAUAAUUGAUGCUUUCAGACUUGCUUAUGUUAUUGAAACAAACUGUUCAAAUUAUGGGAGCUGUCUCUUUCGUGCGUCAUACUGGGAGAAAGCAGUUAUAAAGCAGUGUGUAAAAUAGGUAGUAGAGAUCUAAUUUGGUGGCUAGACCUACUUAUUUCUUAAAUGGUGACACUAUCUCAAGCUAGGAAGAACACAUUCUUGCAGCAUGAUCGUAUGCAGCGGGCACCAAAUUCAUAAAUCUUAUUAUUUUCUCUGUAAAGAGACUUAUGUCGAUUGAUCACCUUAAUCUUCAUGUAAAGACUUAAACAUGUGUGUGAAGAUAUUCUUGAUUCUCUUCUCGAGGAACAUUGAUUGCAUUUUCCCUGCUAAUGCAAAGCUUGAAUGUAUGCUGGCGUAACGUAAUAAGAAUAGGUGGUAUUGGUCGCUGUCUUCACUAAUUGUAAUUGGUUCUCUCUCCCUCUCUCUCUCUCUCUCUCUCUCUCUCUGUGAGAAAAGAGGGGGUGAAGGCUGAGUUGGAUUGGGAUCAUUUCAUUAAUGCAGGAGGGUUAUUAUGUAAAAAGUUAGGUGGAAAUGGAGGGCCAAAGCCAUGUGCAUUGAGUAGGGUACAGAGAAGAGGUAUCCAUUAAGGAGCAUUACUAGGUGGGCGUCACUGCGUCGCCAAACAAAAGGCCGCGGUGGUGCCCAUCUCUCCCUUCACCUAUCCACCUCUGGGAGCAUUCAUUAACCCUCCUAGGACCACCUUGCUGUUUUCCCUAAUCUCGAAAGAGAGACUGGUCUUAGAACCUUUGAAAGCUUACAGUUUGUAUGGCUUGCAGCAUUCUUUAGGAACCCUAACCUUUGCUUAUUGUGGAUUUAGUCCUUGUUUGGCCUUGCUGCUUUUGGAAUAGCUUCUGUCUAACGUUAGAAGUAUUAGUCAAAAUUCCAAAAAAAAAAAAAAAAAAAAAAUUCUUAAACCUUUGCUGUGAGAAGGAGAUUAAUUAACCUGUUGAGAACAACAACCAGAAGAUGCCUCAAUUUGAAGAAUCUUCUGGUUUUAAUAUAGUGGGAAGCUAUCAGGAGAGGGGUGGCCUUGUUUUUAGGAUGAAAAAUAUUAAUAACCAUUUAAAUAGCUAUACUUAACCAACACUUCCAGCACAAGCAACUGUUAUCGUGAAGAGACCCUAAAUUGGACUCUCUAGGUAACUGGGAUAGCUACAUCUAUCUCAAUUAAACUCGGUGCCUAGGAUAAGCAUAUAGAUAUAUCGAACAGAGCCCAUUGCUAUCCACCGUCUUCCUCUUAACUACGCGCGAAUAGUCUUAGCAUAAUAAUGCUGCAAUGUAUUAAUGUCGUCCAACAACCCCUCGACAUUCUUUUUAUCUCUUUAUUGCUUGGGCUUUUCUGCUUACUUAUUUUGAAUGAGAAGGGCCUUCAUCGCUUGUUUCCGACUUUCCUCAAAGAAACCCAAUUGGACUUGCUAAUGACCUUGUUAAGGCAGGUAAUAAGCACAAUUCUGGACAUUGUUGGCAUCCUGUAUGGUUGGAGAUUUAAUUACUGUGAUAGUUUGUCAUGCAUUUCUUUUCAGUCCAAGGCAAUUGUUUGUUUGAUCCUUAUUUGAAUGGCCCGUAAUAAUUUUGUCUUUCAUUCUGUUUGUUCUGCCAACCUUUGUUGCGCUUAACAGAAAGAUCAAAAACCAAGGGACAUUAAUACGACUCCUGAUUCAAUGAGGAUAAGAAAUUCUCAUCUUGAUCCGGUCAAUAACUUGGAUUUAUGACGUCAAAGCAGACGGAUCGCAUCCCCUCUGUAAUGGUAACACUUCUCCUCCGGCGCAACAAACGCAAUGCUUAACUUGCAGGCGACUGUGUACUUGAAUUGGAGGGAUUCAUUCGCUGUGCACAUGAUGGGGCGUCCUUUUGGAUCGUUUUGACCCUCAUCACGCACAUUAACUGUUGCAUACAACACUGCCGGCUCUGAGUACUGGUGGCAGUGGCUUGAAUUGGAAACUGCCGGAGUUGGUUCGCAGUUUCGCACCA